GACGAACGCUGGCGGCGUGCUUAACACAUGCAAGUCGAACGGACAGGCCCUGCUUUUGUGGGGUGCUCGAGUGGCGAACGGGUGAGUAACACGUGAGUAACCUGCCCUUGACUUUGGGAUAACUUCAGGAAACUGGGGCUAAUACCGGAUAGGAGCUCCUGCUGCAUGGUGGGGGUUGGAAAGUUUCGGCGGUUGGGGCUGGACUCGCGGCUUAUCAGCUUGUUGGUGGGGUAGUGGCUUACCAAGGCUUUGACGGGUAGCCGGCCUGAGAGGGUGACCGGCCACAUUGGGACUGAGAUACGGCCCAGACUCCUACGGGAGGCAGCAGGGGGGAAUAUUGCACAAUGGGCGGAAGCCUGAUGCAGCAACGCCGCGUGCGGGAUGACGGCCUUCGGGUUGUAAACAGCUUUCGCCUGUGACGAAGAGUGAGUGACGGUAAUGGGUAAAGAAGCACCGGCUAACUACGUG
rnacentral:rRNA from 1 species